rnacentral:rRNA from 1 species
UACGUAGGGGGCGAGCGUUGUCCGGAAUCAUUGGGCGUAAAGCGCGUGUAGGCGGCCCGGUAAGUCCGCUGUGAAAGUCCAGGGCUCAACCCUGGGAUGCCGGUGGAUACUGUCGGGCUCGAGUCCGGAAGAGGCGAGUGGAAUUCCGUGGUGUAGCGGUGAAAUGCGCAGAUAUCAGGAGGAACACCAAUGGCGAAGGCGGCUCACUGGACCGGUACUGACGCUGAGUGCGCGAAGCGUGGGAGCAAACGGG